rnacentral:tRNA from 1 species
GCGGAUGUGGCGAAAUGGUAGACGCGCUGUCUUCAGAAGGCAGUGUCCUAGUGGCGUGAGGGUUCAAAUCCCUCCAUCCGCA